rnacentral:rRNA from 1 species
UAGUCAUAUGCUUGUUUUGAAGGCUAAGCCAUGCAUGUGCCAGUAUAAAUGCUUGGAAAGUGAGGCUGCAAAUGGCUCAUUAAAUCAUUGAUAGCUUAUGUAAUGAAACUCUAUAUGGAUAGCUGUGUUAAUUCUGUGGCUAAUACAUGCACAAGAUAAGACUGCACUGGGCACAUUGUGGUUGCUGUAUAAACCAAUGCCAGGUGCAUACCUGGACUGUUUUGAAGCUUUGCAACUGUAAUGAUCAUAUCGUUUGUGGUGGUCCAUUACUUAGGUUUCUGACCUAUCAGCUUUGGUUGGUAUGAUAUUGGCUUAUUGUGGCAUCAACGGGUGACGGGGAAUUAGGGUUUGAUUCCGGAGAGGGGGCCUUAAACAUGGCCACCACAUCUAAGGAAGGCAGCAGGCGCGCAAAUUUCCCAAUCUUAGUGCAGGGAGGUAGUUGCAAGAUUUAACAAUGCAGGGCAUUCAUGUUUUGUGAUUGGAAUGAACAUGCUCUAAUGACGCUUGUUACAAGCUAUU